UACGUAGGGGGCGAGCGUUGUCCGGAAUCAUUGGGCGUAAAGCGCGUGUAGGCGGCUCGAUAAGUCCGGUGUGAAACCUUGGGGCUCAACCCCAAGCCUGCACUGGAUACUGCCGAGCUAGAGUCCGGGAGGGGAGAGCGGAAUUCCUAGUGUAGCGGUGAAAUGCGCAGAUAUUAGGAAGAACACCGGUGGCGAAGGCGGCUCUCGGGAACGGUACUGACGCUGAGACGCGAAAGCGUGGGGAGCGAACAGG
rnacentral:rRNA from 1 species